UCUGAUUAGCUUGUUGGCGGGGUAACGGCCCACCAAGGCAACGAUCAGUAGGGGUUCUGAGAGGAAGGUCCCCCACAUUGGAACUGAGACACGGUCCAAACUCCUACGGGAGGCAGCAGUGAGGAAUAUUGGUCAAUGGGCGAGAGCCUGAACCAGCCAAGUAGCGUGCAGGAAGACGGCCCUAUGGGUUGUAAACUUUUUAUAAGGGAAUAAAGUUAGUCUCGUGAGACUUUUUGCAUGUACCUUAUGAAUAAGGACCGGCUAAUUCCGUGCCAGCAGCCGCGGUAAUACGGAAGGUCCGGGCGUUAUCCGGAUUUAUUGGGUUUAAAGGGAGCGUAGGCCGGAGAUUAAGCGUGUUGUGAAAUGUAGACGCUCAACGUCUGCACUGCAGCGCGAACUGGUUUCCUUGAGUACGCACAAAGUGGGCGGAAUUCGUGGUGUAGCGGUGAAAUGCUUAGAUAUCACGAAGAACUCCGAUUGCGAAGGCAGCUCACUGGAGCGCAACUGACGCUGAAGCUCGAAAGUGCGGGUAUCGAACAGGAUUAGAUACCCUGGUAGUCCGCACGGUAAACGAUGGAUGCCCGCUGUUGGUCUGAACAGGUCAGCGGCCAAGCGAAAGCAUUAAGCAUCCCACCUGGGGAGUACGCCGGCAACGGUGAAACUCAAAGGAAUUGACGGGGGCCCGCACAAGCGGAGGAACAUGUGGUUUAAUUCGAUGAUACGCGAGGAACCUUACCCGGGCUUGAAUUGCAGAGGAAGGAUUUGGAGACAAUGACGCCCUUCGGGGUCUCUGUGAAGGUGCUGCAUGGUUGUCGUCAGCUCGUGCCGUGAGGUGUCGGCUUAAGUGCCAUAACGAGCGCAACCCCUCUCCUUAGUUGCCAUCAGGUUAAGCUGGGCACUCUGGGGACACUGCCACCGUAAGGUGUGAGGAAGGUGGGGAUGACGUCAAAUCAGCACGGCCCUUACGUCCGGGGCUACACACGUGUUACAAUGGCAGGUACAGAGAGACGGUUGUACGUAAGUACGAUCAAAUCCUUAAAGCCUGUCUCAGUUCGGACUGGGGUCUGCAACCCGACCCCACGAAGCUGGAUUCGCUAGUAAUCGCGCAUCAGCCAUGGCGCGGUGAAUACGUUCCCGGGCCUUGUACACACCGCCCGUCAAGCCAUGAAAGCCGGGGGCGCCUAAAGUCCGUGACCGUAAGGAGCGGCCUAGGGCGAAACUGGUAAUUGGGGCUAAGUCGGAACAAGGUA
rnacentral:rRNA from 1 species